rnacentral:rRNA from 1 species
AACGAACGCUGGCGGCAUGCCUAACACAUGCAAGUCGAACGAGAACUUCGGGUCUAGUUGCGGACCUGUGGGUACGACGUGGGAAGUUGCCCUUGAGUUCGGAGUACCUCCCUGUGGGAUGUGUUAAUACAGGAUAAUCUAUUAGGGGAAAAGAGUUAUCGCCGUUGGAUGGGGGCGGGUUGGAUUAGUUGGUUGGUAGGGGAAAAGCAUACCAUGGGGACGUUCCAUAGCUGGUCUGAGAGGAGGAUCAGGCACACUGGGACUGAGACACGGACCAGACUCCUACGGGAGGCAGCAGUGGGGAAUAUUGGACAAUGGGCGAAAGCCUGACAAAGCAACGCGGCGUGAGUGAUGAAGGCCUUAGGGUUGUAAAGCUCUUUUACCCGGGACGAUAAUGACAGUACCGGGAGAAUAAGCUCCGGCUAACUCCGUG